CCAGCCAAGGUAAUCAUCAUCGCCCUAGCACGAACACCACUUGAGCAUAAAUAAGCAACACCUUUAAAUCUCUACUACCUAAAAGAAACGGAGUGUUCCGUCUCCCGUCUUACGUUUUGUCCGACCUCUUCGUCACCCCCGACGUACGCUCCCUUCCCCCUCCUCUUCCGAUUUUUUACCCCCACCAAUUUUAAAACCGGAAGGUCUUCCUCCCGCAACAUAGUUUCCUCCAAAUCAAAGGUGGAUCAUGGGAAAACCCACGCAUGCACGAUUCUCAUGGGAUACCUCCGCUAAUAUCUCUCGAUCCCUUCCAUCUAUACCUCCUAAAAUCACUCUCGAUCCCUUCCAUCUAUUCAUCCAAUCAGUCAUGCUUUCCAUUGGGCUUCCAAUUGUAUAAAACCCAACGCACAAUCGCUCCAUGUGAUCUGACCUGAAAAGCUUUGGGAUGGCCCCGUGCACAAUCGCUCAUAUGCUCUAUUGUUACCUGGCGGCUGUGUUGCGCGGGACCUCGCCGUCCAUCAUGAUCAAUGCAUCCCGUCCGCUGUGUUGUGCGAUCUCACCCCAACCUCCGUCCGCUGCGCCAUCCAAUAUCCUCCGUGCCCAUCUGCCAUUCCGCCCGUUCGCCGCGAUCUUCCUCCAUUGACUGAUAGAAUUGGCACCAGGCGAGCAUCAGUCACCGCAUGGGAAGCCCGGCAGCUCAUGGCGGACUCGAGCACGCUGAGACCUGAUCAGUGACGCCCCGAAGGCCGAGCCGUUGCAGUAGAAGAAGGUGCAUCGGACUGACGCGGUGGUGUGCAUCGCCCACGACAAACACGCCUCUGACCAGAUUGAGCCGGGCGACGUCGCCCUGACAACUAGCAUGGCCAGCACCACGAGGUACUGGUGCAAGAACAUCCACACCACGUACAGAUCUCGUCGGAUGAGAAGGCAAUUAUUUUCACGCCCAGGUGUUAAUGGAUUUAGCCGAUCCACCCUUGAUGAUUCCUUUAAAGGUUGCUAAAAAUGACAGCAGAAAAUAGCACAAUUCUACCCAACUGGCGAUCGACAGAACCCCGAUCAUCAAUCUUGUGUAUAUGUGCAUGCGUGUUCACCAGGAAUCAGCAUGCGGAUAUAUGGAUUUUGGGCGCCCUCUGCUAAUCUAUCACCGGUGGGGUCGACAAACCAUCCUGAUACGUGCACGCCGCGGUUUGUUGGGUCAAAAUUGUUUUAGCCAGCAGAGGCGGAGGCAGCACAGUUGGCAGACAAAAGCGGGGAAUGUUAAACGAGAUGCAUGUGUGUCCUUUCCCUCCGCAAGUGAAGGGAGGAAAGCUGCGAGCUUUGAAGGCGCUGCCCUCGUCGACGGCGACAACCACAGCGAACAGCGCGGAAGAGGCCGGGGACAUGGCGCGGCGGGGGGAGCAGGACAACCUCGAGGUCCCGCACAACGGUAAGUCCGUCGCUGCCACUGUCGGCUGCAUGGCCGGCGUCUGCGACUCUCUUCAGCUGAUCAACGUGCUCGCGGCAACCAUCGUCUUGUAUGGGAGAUGAGCAUAUUAUCCUUUUUGGCUCAAUAGAUUAGUUCUUCAAUUUGUACUACCACUGUUCUGGAUUGAGAUCUGUGCAACUUUUUAGGGGUGUA